rnacentral:lncRNA from 1 species
UAAUUUUUAAGAUAGCAACAUGCCUUUAUUUAUUGGAUAAUUGAUGUUGGGGUUUGGUGCUAUCAACUUGACCUAUUGUUGCCAGUCCCCCCUAAAAAAAAUAAAAUUUAAUGCAUGUAUGAAUAAGCUACAUGACAUGUAACGAUGAAUUUGUUAAGUUUCGUUUUCCUCUAGGUUUUAAAACGAAAGUAAGAAAAACAUCUAAUAAAGAUUAAAUGUUUAAAGUAGGAUAAAAUCUUUUAUAAGGUGAUAAUUUUUAGAUGAAGAUAAAUUUACUCUUUUAAAU